GAUGAACGCUGGCGGCGUGCCUAAUACAUGCAAGUCGAGCGAACAGACGAGGAGCUUUCUCCUCUGACUUUAGCGGCGGACGGGUCAGUAACAUGUGUAUAACCUACCUAUAAGACUGGGAUACCUUCGGGAAACCGGAUCUAAUACCGGAUAAUUUAUUGAACCUCAUUGUUCAAUAGUUAAAUUCGGUUUUUCUUUCACUUAUAGCUUGAUCCGCCCCGCAUUAGCUGGUUGGUUAGGUAACGGCUUACCAAGGCUAGGAUGGCUACACGACCUGAGAGGGAGAUCGGCGACCUGGGAAGUGAGACACGGUCCAGACUCCUACGGGAGGCAGCAGCAGGGAAUCUUACGCAAUGGGGGAAAGCUUGACGGAGCAAAGCGGCGUGAGUGAUGAAGGUCUUCGGAUCGUAAAACUCUGUUAUUAGGGAAGAACAAAUGUGUAAGUAACUAUGCAGGUAUUGACGGUACCGAAUCAGAAAGCCACGGCUAACUACGUG
rnacentral:rRNA from 1 species